GUGUUGGUCCAGCAGCACAUACACUAAAAUUGGAAUGAUAAAGAGAUUAGCAUGGCCUCUGCAAAAGGCAAAUUCAUGGAGCAUUCCAUAUUUUC
rnacentral:snRNA from 1 species